AUCCUGGCUCAGGACGAACGCUGGCGGCGUGCCUAAUACAUGCAAGUCGAGCGGACAGAAGGGAGCUUGCUCCCGGAUGUUAGCGGCGGACGGGUGAGUAACACGUGGGUAACCUGCCUGUAAGACUGGGAUAACUCCGGGAAACCGGAGCUAAUACCGGAUAGUUCCUUGAACCGCAUGGUUCAAGGAUGAAAGACGGUUUCGGCUGUCACUUACAGAUGGACCCGCGGCGCAUUAGCUAGUUGGUGGGGUAAUGGCUCACCAAGGCGACGAUGCGUAGCCGACCUGAGAGGGUGAUCGGCCACACUGGGACUGAGACACGGCCCAGACUCCUACGGGAGGCAGCAGUAGGGAAUCUUCCGCAAUGGACGAAAGUCUGACGGAGCAACGCCGCGUGAGUGAUGAAGGUUUUCGGAUCGUAAAGCUCUGUUGUUAGGGAAGAACAAGUGCGAGAGUAACUGCUCGCACCUUGACGGUACCUAACCAGAAAGCCACGGCUAACUACGUGCCAGCAGCCGCGGUAAUACGUAGGUGGCAAGCGUUGUCCGGAAUUAUUGGGCGUAAAGGGCUCGCAGGCGGUUUCUUAAGUCUGAUGUGAAAGCCCCCGGCUCAACCGGGGAGGGUCAUUGGAAACUGGGAAACUUGAGUGCAGAAGAGGAGAGUGGAAUUCCACGUGUAGCGGUGAAAUGCGUAGAGAUGUGGAGGAACACCAGUGGCGAAGGCGACUCUCUGGUCUGUAACUGACGCUGAGGAGCGAAAGCGUGGGGAGCGAACAGGAUUAGAUACCCUGGUAGUCCACGCCGUAAACGAUGAGUGCUAAGUGUUAGGGGGUUUCCGCCCCUUAGUGCUGCAGCUAACGCAUUAAGCACUCCGCCUGGGGAGUACGGUCGCAAGACUGAAACUCAAAGGAAUUGACGGGGGCCCGCACAAGCGGUGGAGCAUGUGGUUUAAUUCGAAGCAACGCGAAGAACCUUACCAGGUCUUGACAUCCUCUGACAACCCUAGAGAUAGGGCUUUCCCUUCGGGGACAGAGUGACAGGUGGUGCAUGGUUGUCGUCAGCUCGUGUCGUGAGAUGUUGGGUUAAGUCCCGCAACGAGCGCAACCCUUGAUCUUAGUUGCCAGCAUUCAGUUGGGCACUCUAAGGUGACUGCCGGUGACAAACCGGAGGAAGGUGGGGAUGACGUCAAAUCAUCAUGCCCCUUAUGACCUGGGCUACACACGUGCUACAAUGGACAGAACAAAGGGCUGCAAGACCGCAAGGUUUAGCCAAUCCCAUAAAUCUGUUCUCAGUUCGGAUCGCAGUCUGCAACUCGACUGCGUGAAGCUGGAAUCGCUAGUAAUCGCGGAUCAGCAUGCCGCG
rnacentral:rRNA from 1 species